AGCGAACGCUGGCGGCAGGCCUAACACAUGCAAGUCGAACGAACCCUUCGGGGUUAGUGGCGGACGGGUGAGUAACACGUGGGAACGUGCCUUUAGGUUCGGAAUAACUCAGGGAAACUUGUGCUAAUACCGAAUGUGCCCUUCGGGGGAAAGAUUUAUCGCCUUUAGAGCGGCCGCGUCUGAUUAGCUAGUUGGUGAGGUAAUGGCUCACCAAGGCUACGAUCAGUAGCUGGUCUGAGAGGAUGACCAGCCACAUUGGGACUGAGACACGGCCCAAACUCCUACGGGAGGCAGCAGUGGGGAAUCUUGCGCAAUGGGCGAAAGCCUGACGCAGCCAUGCCGCGUGGAUGAUGAAGGUCUUAGGAUUGUAAAAUCCUUUCACCGGUGAAGAUAAUGACUGUAGCCGGAGAAUAAGCACCGGCUAACUACGUGCCAGCCGCCGCCGUAACAC
rnacentral:rRNA from 1 species